rnacentral:tRNA from 1 species
AGAGAGGUAAGUUAAGGUGUUAAACUAUGUGGUUCAUGUUCAUAAAAUACAUUCUUGUCUUCUCUU